GACGGAGGGUGCUAGCGUUGUUCGGAAUCACUGGGCGUAAAGCGCGCGCAGGCGGCGAUCUGCGUCUGGGGUGAAAGCCCGGAGCUCAACUCCGGGACUGCCUUGGAUACGGGGUCGCUUGAGGAUCGGAGAGGCAAGGGGAAUUCCACGUGUAGCGGUGAAAUGCGUAGAGAUGUGGAGGAACACCUGUGGCGAAGGCGCCUUGCUGGCCGAUUUCUGACGCUGAGGCGCGAAAGCGUGGGGAGCAAACAGG
rnacentral:rRNA from 1 species